CAGGAAACUCUGGGUUAACUCAGCGAGCUGAUAACCAGCUUCCUCUGACAACUUAUCGUUAUUGGCAGUGUCAGGGGUCAUGGUGUGGCAGAGCCAAACCCAGCUGUCACAGGGUGAAAGGCAGGGUACACACAGGACAGGACACCAGUCUGUCACAGGGGUCACGGGGAGUCUGGAGCCUAUCCCAGGUGUCACAUGAAAGGCAGGGUACACCUGUAUGUCGCAGGGCUGUCACAUAGAGACAGACGACCUUUUAAACCUACAGCCAGUUUAGAAUCACCAGUUAACCUAAUCACAUGCAGGUUUCUGGACUGUGGGAGAAUACCCAGAGAAAGCCCACACAGACACAGGGAGAACAUGCAAACUCCACAC
ensembl:lncRNA